GGAGAAUACGUAAGUGAAGUCAUGAUUAUCAGCCCAUUCUUGAUCCUAUCUCCAACACAAUCUCCAUCCCCUGAGUGAGGUUGAAUGAUACUUCUUUUGUCUUUUAUCACUGUAGAGGAGCAGGAAGCAAAGAUUUUGAAAUUUAUCCAUUAAGAAUAAUCAUGAGAGAUUAAAUCCAGCUGCUCCAAAACACAGUCUCAAGAUUCAAAUGUUGCAAAGAAAAAAAAAGAGAUGAUGUUUCAGACUGCAGACCACAUCUAAGAAGACAAAUUCAUCAGGAAAACCUCAUGAAUCCCAUUUUAAUAAAGACACUUCACUUUUAGAGCAGUCAGUGUUGGUUGCCAAUCCCAAUAUUCAUUUUUCUAUCCCACUUUAUUGAAAGAAUUUAACUUGUAUUCAACUACCCAUGCCUCAGGGAAGCUAACACUAUUCUAAGUUCUUUCUUUUUUUGAGACCAGGUCUCACUGUAUUACCCAGGCUGGAGUACACACAGUGGUGCAAUCACAGCUAACUACAACCUUGGUCUCCUGGGCUCAAUCAAUCCUCCCACCUCAGCAUCCCAAGUAAGCUGGGACCACAGCUCAGGAAUCUGAUUUUCGACAUGUACUCUUAAGUGAUGCUGAUAUAAGUGAACAAGAAGCUGGUCUAGACGAUCAUGCUCAAAUUCCUUAGUGAGUCAUCCAAGCUUCCUCACCAUCAUCUGUCUAAUGCAUGGAGGGCCUUUUAAACAUUCCAUCAGGGGCCUGCGGAGGAUGUCUGGCGGCGAGUCAAUCAAGAAGCCGCAUGAACUGGCAGCAGAAUCUACGAGGAAUUUUAAAAUAUGUAUUUAUAUAUACGUGUAUAUACUCUUUUAUUUUUUUUUUUUUUUUUUUUUUUUUUUGCUAUCUGC
rnacentral:lncRNA from 13 species